rnacentral:rRNA from 1 species
ACGGAAGGCAGCAGUGGGGAAUAUUGGGCAAUGGGCGAAAGCCUGACCCAGCAACGCCGCGUGAAGGAAGAAGGCCUUCGGGUUGUAAACUUCUUUUACCAGGGACGAAGGACGUGACGGUACCUGGAGAAAAAGCCACGGCUAACUACGUGCCAGCAGCCGCGGUAAUACGUAGGUGGCAAGCGUUGUCCGGAUGUACUGGGUGUAAAGGGCGUGUAGGCGGAACUGUAAGUCAGAUGUGAAAUCCCGGGGCUCAACCCCGGAACUGCAUUUGAAACUGCAGUCCUUGAGUAUCGGAGAGGCAAGCGGAAUUCCUAGUGUAGCGGUGAAAUGCGUAGAUAUUGGGAGGGACACCAGUGGCGAAGGCGGCUUGCUGGACGACAACUGACGCUGAGGCGCGAAAGCGUGGGAAGCAAACAGGAUUAGAUACCCUGGUA